CCCUAGUCAUCACUCAUCAAUGAGGAUGCCUGGCUCAUCUCCAGUGCAUUUUCUUUCUUCCUUUAUUUUGUAAUAACUAAGUAAUAAGUUAUACCUUAUUAUUUGUUAUUAUUUAUGAGUUAUUACUUAUUGUCUAUCAAUUUAAGUCAAAGGAGCGUUCCGUCUUUAUGGAGGGAUAGUAUGGGAUAGGGGAAAAAGUGUCUACUCGACCCCAAACUACAUCUGCUCUGAAGAAGAACCGCCUGUGGUAGAAAUAGUCGAGCUAACGUCUCAAAUCUCUUUUGAAACACCAAUCUAAUUCCUGGUGAGAAGGAGGAUAGAUUAUUCUUACUUCAAGAAUCUGCAGAAUGGAGUAAAUAUCUAUUUGAACCCUGUGAAAGUCGUAAGAAGAGAUUGGUUGGCCAAAUUCGGAGCUCACUUUUUGCCCUCCAAGGAUGGAGGGACUGUCUUUGUACCGGACUGGGCCUAAGAACUUUGCUUAAGUCAUUCACAAAGAGGAAUUUCCAAUCCUUGGUUAAAUUGGAAGAUGUUAAAGAGAGAGCUCUUGUUGAGUGGCUCCCUUCUUAACUACUCUUUUAAAAAUGUCUCCUGCUAUUCACCAGAGCCCUAUAAGAACUUAUAGGGCUCUGCUAUUCACUAAUCAAAGUUAAUAUUGAGUUCAAAUAUUUGCAGUCACUAUUUAAUAAAUAUUAUAACUUCAGCAGACCUUUUUGGCCUAAUAUGGAAGUAUCGGAUAUUUAUUAUCUAUCAUGACGAAGGACAAUGUUUCAGAUUAAACCUGGAUAUGUCGAUUUGUCUCACUAAAAUUUCUCUACUUUUGUCAGGUUCUCAAUCGCAAUUCAACUUAGUAAAGAAUAAUGAUGGAAGAUUUUAUCAUUCAUGAACAUUUUGGUGGAUCAUUUGUUUAUCAUAAGUAUUCCAACAAUACUGAUGUAUCUACAUCGACCGAUCCUAUGACAUUAAAUAAGAAAAGCUGCACAACACCGCCAUGUCCCCCUAUCGACUUUAAGGGUGAUAAAUACAUUGGAUUUCCAUCAUUUCUUGUAUCAUUACAUGGAUCAAUCAAUUAUCCUAAUCCUACACUUUACGGAAUCUUUACACUGAUGAUGCCUAGUGUGACACAAAAAUGUAAUUAAUCAAUGAAAGGGAAGAAGUGAAAUAGUUAUAAAGACCUCUAAAUAUUCCUUGGAAAUAAUUUUUUUUUUUACUAAAACUGAUUUGAAUUAACUAAAGUUAACCAGAUUUUGGCACUAAAUAGCCUCUAUCUAGAUAUUUUACUUAAAUAUAUUAUAUUGUAAAUGUUUAGAAGAAGAAAUGUAUUAUAAAUACAAAUUAUUUAACUACUUAAUUAAUGAAAUUGAACCUUACUACGGAUAAACCUAGAUAAAUUGUAAACUAAAAUAAAAACCUUUAUUUAAUCA
rnacentral:lncRNA from 1 species